rnacentral:rRNA from 1 species
GUGUCAGCCGCCGCGGUAAUACGAAGGGGGCUAGCGUUGUUCGGAAUUACUGGGCGUAAAGCGCACGCAGGCGGCUUUUCAAGUCAGGAGUGAAAGCCCUGGGCUCAACCCGGGAAUUGCUCUUGAUACUGGAAGGCUUGAAUCAUGGAGAGGGUAGGGGAAUUCCGAGUGUAGAGGUGAAAUUCGUAGAUAUUCGGAAGAACACCAGUGGCGAAGGCGCCUACCUGGCCAUCGAUUGACGCUCAUGUGCGAAAGCGUGGGGAGCAAACAGGAUUAGAUACCCUGGUAGUCCACGCCGUAAACGAUGAGUGCUGGAUGUUGGGAUGCAUGCAUCUCAGUGUCGUAGCUAACGCGUUAAGCACUCCGCCUGGGGAGUACGGCCGCAAGGUUAAA